rnacentral:rRNA from 1 species
AUAGCGUAUAUUAAAGUUGUUGCAGUUAAAAAGCUCGUAGUUGAACCUUGGGCCUGGCUGGCCGGUCCGCCUAACCGCGUGCACUGGUUCGGCCGGGCCUUUCCUUCUGGCUAGCCCUAUGCCCUUCACUGGGUGUAGCGGGGAUCCAGGACUUUUACUUUGAAAAAAUUAGAGUGUUCAAAGCAGGCCUACGCUCGAAUACAUUAGCAUGGAAUAAUAGAAUAGGACGGCGGUUCUAUUUUGUUGGUUUCUAGAGCCACCGUAAUGAUUAAUAGGGAUAGUCGGGGGCAUCAGUAUUCAAUUGUCAGAGGUGAAAUUCUUGGAUUUAUUGAAGACUAACUACUG